GUACCUUUUGUAUAAUGGGUCAGCGACUUAUAUUCUGUAGCAAGGUUAACCGAAUAGGGGAGCCGAAGGGAAACCGAGUCUUAACUGGGCGUUAAGUUGCAGGGUAUAGACCCGAAACCCGGUGAUCUAGCCAUGGGCAGGUUGAAGGUUGGGUAACACUAACUGGAGGACCGAACCGACUAAUGUUGAAAAAUUAGCGGAUGACUUGUGGCUGGGGGUGAAAGGCCAAUCAAACCGGGAGAUAGCUGGUUCUCCCCGAAAGCUAUUUAGGUAGCGCCUCGUGAAUUCAUCUCCGGGGGUAGAGCACUGUUUCGGCAAGGGGGUCAUCCCGACUUACCAACCCGAUGCAAACUGCGAAUACCGGAGAAUGUUAUCACGGGAGACACACGGCGGGUGCUAACGUCCGUCGUGAAGAGGGAAACAACCCAGACCGCCAGCUAAGGUCCCAAAGUCAUGGUUAAGUGGGAAACGAUGUGGGAAGGCCCAGACAGCCAGGAUGUUGGCUUAGAAGCAGCCAUCAUUUAAAGAAAGCGUAAUAGCUCACUGGUCGAGUCGGCCUGCGCGGAAGAUGUAACGGGGCUAAACCAUG
rnacentral:rRNA from 1 species